GCGGCGUUUGCCUUUGUAGGCAGCCACUACAGGGGCCGUGUAGACGGGGAGCCAUUUAUAUGGGUUCACGGUCACACAGAAGAGCCCAGAGUACGUCUGCCAUGAGGAGAUGACAAGAUUAACACCAGAGUUAUAUUUUGUCUCCAACAUCUACAGUCAUGUGAACAGCGGCAGCAGUCUCUGAAACUCCCUCAUGGUCCCGGCCUGGAUAAAGGUUACAGAUCCACUCAGCGGCAACAAGCAACACCCUUUCCAUCGGCUCUUUAACAUCUCCUCAAUAACUCGUCAACUAUUCUCUCCUCAACAUACAGGACAAGUAUUAGGCAUUCUUUCAGUGGAUGUCAUCUGGACAGGAAAGGGUUAUCUGACAGGAAGUGGAAGUCCUCCUGCCGCCCCAUCCU